GUGGGUCGUUGAGGCACAGCACAGAGGAGAAUAGGGAGGUUCUAUCAGGUGGCCUGCCCCAGGAAAACACACUUGAAGCGGGAGACCCAGCACAUGCAGUGUUCAAGAGGAUUCACAAACAGCACACCCUAAACCAGCACAUCAUCCCAAGAUGGAAGGCCUGUACCAAUAAGCAGAUUUUUAACUGGGGUGGGAUAAUAGAGGCACAGCAAUUUGUGCCAUUUAAUUCUUGGUCCCUAUACAUAAUAAAGUGGUCUAUAUGCUAUUUACUGGGUAUUUUAAAAACUCAAAUUUAUCCGAACAAGUACAUGGGUUAUGGUGAAUUUGGAAAGGAAAGCUUUUAUUGCUUUUUUUUCUUCUGAGAAAUUAACUUUGCUUUAUUUGGCCCCACAAUAAACUCUGAGAAAUGUACCAAAAC
rnacentral:lncRNA from 1 species